GACAGAGGUGGCGAGCGUUGUUCGGAUUUAUUGGGCGUAAAGCGCACGCAGGCGGUUUGGUAAGUCAGAGGUGAAAGCCCGCAGCUCAACUGCGGCAAUGCCUUUGAUACUGCCUUUCUCGAGUGCAGGAGAGGGAAGCGGAAUUCCGAGUGUAGAGGUGAAAUUCGUAGAUAUUCGGAGGAACACCGGUGGCGAAGGCGGCUUCCUGGCCUGUAACUGACGCUCAGGUGCGAAAGCGUGGGUAGCAAACAGG
rnacentral:rRNA from 1 species